AUGUUUUACAAAUCACUACUGUUUGUCCUAGAAAUUCAUCAAAGACUGGUCUGGCCACAGGUGUUCCUGCACAGGGGCGUCCCAGAAAGUCCCAUGAAGGUUCUUGUCAAUACAGGGAAUUGUUACUUAUCCUUCAUGACCUGACUUAUCCUGACUUAUCCUUAUGAUUGCAUGAACAAAUGCAAUCAUUUGUGACACUUUCCUGUGUCAUCGAAGACUUCCUAAUAACUGCCUUCUGUGAGUUCACAUAGGACUUUGACCACAAAUCACAGCAUCGCAUUGAGGUGACCUGGCUCAAAACUCACUUCCUUGGAGUACCCCAUGAUGUCCCUGCCAAAGCCAGAUAAGUCCCUUUGUUAAAUGUUCUGGUCUCUAGAAUUAUCCUUCAUGGCACAUAUUAUAAUUAUAGUUAAAUGACAAAUUGGGUAAUUAUUUCUUCAUGCCCGCCUCCUUCAUUGGUAUAUAAGCAGACUGUUUCAAUAUUCUCAUGCUCUGUCCUCAGAGCAUCACAACAAGUUAGUGCCCAGGAAACGUUUAUUCACUAAAUGAAUGAAAGGAUGGAUGAAUAAUCUUCCAAAAAUAUUUUAAACAUAAAGGUUGUCUGGAGAGGAUUAAAAUAUAAAGAAAGAGUUGUCUUUACAAAGAGAAAUAUUUCCUUUUGCUUGUAAUCUACACCAGCUUUAUCAUCAACAUGCAUGUGGGAUUAUUAUAAGCCACAUGUCGUGCUAACCUUUUUUACUUGCUUUGUUUCAUUUAAAGAUAAUAUUGGUCUUAGGAGAUGCGUACUACUAAGCCCGCCUCUUUAUUUUGAUAUGAAGCACUAGAGGCUCAGAGAGAUUACAUAAUUGCCUAUGGUCACACAAAUAGUAAGUGGUGGAACCAGAAUUUGUCUGAUUUGAAUUUAAGUUCUCAGCCAUUGCCUUUAGUCUAUUUGGGCUGCUAUAACAAAUAUAAACCAGGUGGCUUAUAAACAACAGAAAUGUGUUUCUCACAGCUCUGGAGGCUGGAUGUCUCAAAUCACGGUGCCAGCAUGGUCAAAUUCUAGUUAGGAAUAUUUCCAGGUUGCAGAUGACUGCUUUUUUGUAUCUUCACACAGCAGAAAGAGAGGUAGGGAGCUCUCUGGGGUCUCCUUUAUACCUGCACUAAUCCCAUUAAUGGGGACUCCAACUUGACCUAAUUACCUUCCAAAGACUCUGCUCCUAAUAUCAUCACAUUGGAGGUUAGGAUUUCAAUAUAUGAAUUUUAGAGAGACACAAGCAUUCAGUCCACUGAAUCUUCUGGAAUGUUCUGUCUUAACAUUGAACCAGAAUUUCUUUCUGGAUAACCUCUCACUUCAUACAAUUGGGUCUCUAUAGCCAGGGGAAAUAGGCUGGGGUUUUUUUUUUUCACCGUAGCUGUCCUCAGUACACAAAGACUCAUUCUCUGACCAAAUAAUCCCCCUCCAGGCUUAAUCAUUCCCAAUUCCUCCAACCAUUCCACUUGGGACUGGAACAGAACUUUUCUGACCUUUGUUUGGUGCUUUUGUUUUCACUUGAGUAAUUUCCUUUCCCUUGGAGAAUUAGCCAGUUCCUACAUCUGAAAGAGGAAAGGGUGAAUAGCAGGAAAAAGAGAAAACGACAACCAACAACAAAUGUGUCGGGAUCUCUUCUUUGUUGAAGAGAGAUGACAUAGCAGAAUGAGCCCAUCAACUCUAGAGAGAGACUGCUUAGGUUCAAAUCCUGGCUCUACCACCCACUGGCCACAUGAGUUUUAACAAUUACAUAAAUUCUAAAUCAGCUCAAUUGAAUUCCUGGACUGCUGAGUUCACCAUGGCUAACAGAGAUUGAGUACCACCCUACCUGCCAUUUCCUUGCAGCCAAGAGAGGCUGCUACCUCCUGACACCCUAGAGAUAUUUGUUGAGCACUUCCUAUACUCCUGCUGUUAUAACCAUUUUGCCUGCAGGAACUCAUUUUGUCCUCACAGCAGCCCUAUGAAGUGGAUCCUCUUAUUAUCCCCACCGCACAGAUGUAGAAAAGAACCCUGAGAAAUUGUCUUGCCCAAGCUCCUACAGCUGGUAAGUGGAGGAGCAGAUAGUUUAGCUGUAGAGGCUGUGCUCCUAACCACUCUGUCCUGCUGCCUCAACUUUAUAAACCCAUCUUUAGGGACCUUCACAAUCUGCACGCUUGAACAGCUCACCUCAUAUUCUACCACUCCGAGCGAUUUGACUCCUCUGACAAACUCUUAUCUCCCGGACAGUCUUUAUCAUCCUUGCCUGCCCUCCCUUAUGAGGGUUAUUAAAAUUGG
ensembl:lncRNA